GACAGAACGGAAGGAAUUCCAAGAGACCAAUCAGUAGAAGGACCUUAUUAAUGCACACCUACGUCGCUUCACGAAAACGGCCAGCAGAGGGCGCGCGUGGCCUUUGACUAACGGUUGAUUCCUAGCCCAGGGUCACAAACGAAAUGAUCCAGGGAGGUGAUUUACAUUCCUAGCACAGUUCAUAGAGAAAACCAAAGGCCAAGCUACAUGGAAUGAAAAUCUCCGAUUUGGGCUUAUCUCAACGUCACAUGUGUGAGUGAAAAGUUCUGAGAACCUUAUAUCCAAAACAGUUUUCGGUUUGAGGCUGCCUGACUUUUCUGUCCGACCCACAGAACAUACAGACAGCACCAACGCAGAUGCUGGUCCUUCCUUUACCAGACUCCCGUGGACCUGCAACGGUCGUUGUCGCUUUGGAGGAAUCGUCUUCAAGCUAAGUGGGUAUUUAGACCAUCUCCAUUGUCCAGUGACGAAUUCAGUUUAGUCCAGCUGAGGGACAGGCUCCUGUCCACACACUUGGGCUGGAAGGAAGGCUGCCAGCAGAGCCUUGGCUGUGGCAGCAGCAAAGGCAACAGCCUGGAGCACUUCUGCACACCCCUAAGAUCUCUCAGUACAGCCCUGGAAACAGUUUUGAGAAGGUGGCAUGGGUUCAGCUGACUGCACACCAGGUCUCAAAAUGAUGAAACAGCCAUGACCCAAGGGCCUGCCUGUGUUUGGUGAGCUCUGUCCCUGGAGAGUCUCUGCCUAGCAGGAGAAGGGGCCAGGAGUCUCCGGAACCUUAAAGAAAACCAUCAGCCCAGAAGACAAGCAUUUUCUGUGACUUGUGAGUACUGGAGGUGAGGAAGACUUGAGCCACAGACCAAAAGAAAGGUCCCCUGCUUCAGUCAUCAUCUUCCUAGCUGAAGAGAAGAGCCUUGCCCCUGGGACCCAAGAGAGAGCCUUGAGGGGACCACCAGGUGACUCUUUUCCUUACAGCCAUGCUCACUCUUGCCUCCUUUACCCCAGGUGCUUUUUCUGCCUCAAGUUGUGAACACAGCAAGGGCAGGCUGAUGCCUUGGGUCGGCUAGAAUGCGAUAUUGCAGCCAUGAAGGCGAUCCUAGAGAACCAGCUUUCCUUGGUGGGCACACAGCCUCAGUAGGAAGCCUCACCACCUCAUUAAGCACUAUGCUGCAGGCUUAGCAGAUCCUUAGUGCCCAAUGUGUUCCUGGACCUGCACCCUGAGGCCCAGGACCCUGUGGUCACUGGCCACUUGUACACAUGAGGCUGCAAACCUGGGUGCUUUUUAGGCCCUCUCCUGGUGUGGGUUGGUGGGCACAUAAGUCCCAUUCAGAGGUCUGGUGUUGUGUUACUGCCAGGAAGGCAGUCUCCACAGCAGUGGUUAGAAGGGUCCCUGCAUACCACGUGUGACUGUGUUGAGAUUCCUUGCUCAUAGCUAUAAUGUCAUCACUCCUCCUCCUCCUGCUCCUGAUUUGUGGUUGGCAUCCUUGCUGCCCUCCCUUGGCUUGGCCUGCCUAUUGGAAAGGCAAGAAGGACAAAGGCUCCUUGACUGCCCCCUCUCCUCCUGUUUGUCUUGACAGCAUUUGGCUGGCUGACCUCCCACGGAAAGCUGACUUCCUGUGGGAAACACAUCAGUGUCACUCCUUCACCUCACCCUGGCAGGCCCUCUCUUCUCUUGGGUCUGGAGAGGGAGUGCUUGCAUAUCGAAGGGACCAUGGAGCCCACUCUGUGGCCAAGAAGCAUCCCUGAGUCCUUUCCACCAUACAGCCCAGAACCAGCUCCUCUCUCCUGUCCUGGUGGACACCAGGCACAGAGGAAACUGAGCCCCAGGGGACACUAUGGAGUUGUUUGUGCCCAAGGCAGGAUGACCAAAGGUCACUGCAGCCAAGAUUUCAGGGUCAGCCACCAAUGGCCCUUUUUGUCCUGCCACUGUGAAUGCAUGAUCCUCAAGCCCAAAUUCCCCUCCCAUCUGGUCCUUAAAAUAAAUGGUGAGCAAUUCCCCACCUGGGAGGUACUGGGAACUUGCUAAGAGAUCAGCCCUCACUGCUCCUGGGCCGGGUCACCUCUCACUGCCUUCUGGGGCUGAGGUGCUGAGGAAGCAAGUGUCUCUGCUUUGUCUAGGUCGUAGUCUCUGG
rnacentral:lncRNA from 1 species